rnacentral:rRNA from 1 species
GCAGAACGCGAAGAACCUUACCUACCCUUGACAUGUCUGGAAUCCUGCUGAGAGGCGGGAGUGCCUUCGGGAACCAGAACACAGGUGCUGCAUGGCUGUCGUCAGCUCGUGUCGUGAGAUGUUGGGUUAAGUCCCGCAACGAGCGCAACCCUUAUCAUUAGUUGCUACGCAAGGGCACUCUAAUGAGACUGCCGGUGACAAACCGGAGGAAGGUGGGGAUGACGUCAAGUCCUCAUGGCCCUUAUGGGUAGGGCUUCACACGUCAUACAAUGGUCGGUACAGAGGGUUGCCAAGCCGCGAGGCGGAGCCAAUCCCAGAAAGCCGAUCGUAGUCCGGAUCGCAGUCUGCAACUCGACUGCGUGAAGUCGGAAUCGCUAGUAAUCGCGGAUCAGCAUGUCGCGGUGAAUACGUUUCCGGGUCUUGUACACACCG